GGCGAUCUCGACGCGCGGCACUCCAGAGAACGAGUUCAAUUACAGAAGAAAAAAAAAGAGCGGAAAGGAAACCCACGGCGACAUGCACCGCAACAAACUGUACCCGAAGAGUUAACGGAAUCCGCGACGCAGAGGAAGGUCGAGCAAUAGCCAUUUCCUCGGUCCGGCAGGACACGCAGAUGCAUGUCGCAGGUGUGAUAAACCCCUUUCACGAGUGCAAGCCGAGGCCCUCGACGUGUAUCUCGUGCGAUGCUGAGUUUGCGCCUACGUCACCAGUUCCCUGUAAUUUGCCCGUGCGAAAUUGUAGUCCCACUGUCAUCCGGGGAGGAUAUACCGAAGACGUCUCCAGGCGAUUGCGGACGGUUAAUUAUUGCGCUAAUUAAACCGCGAAUCGCCCUAGGUCGGAAGCAUUAAGUAAUAAUUUUUAGUUGGAAAAUUUCAUCGAGGAGGCGCUCUCGAUAGGUGGCGUUGUAUCUCCUUAUACUAAUUCGUGGGUCGUAAGGUAAUAGCUUUCCGGGGCGUCUGUUGGCUCUUCGGGGCGAACGCGGUAUUUAUUACCGAACAAAGUCGAUUUAUGUCACCUCUCCUUUCAGCCGCAGGUGCGGCGUGGACCCUUCUCCUCGAAUACGUCUCAAUUGCAAAGAGCGGCCGGCUGGGUCGUGCAUUUUAAUUAGGACAUCGCACACGAGGCAACGUAUCGCUUUCGCGGGACGAUAUCCUCGCAAAGGGAGGUCCUCUUUCUUCCUCUCUCUCUCUCUCUCUCGGAUAGAAGUCGACGCAUCCGCCGCGGGAGAGCGCGAUUCGCUCUCGCAAAGGGCUUUUCACCGUGGGCGACGUUCCAUUUAAUUAAGUCGGUAUUGUCUCGGCGAGAUCGCUGGUACGCGCGACUCCGCCGGAACGUCCCGUCCCCGCGACUCCUUGGGGACGCUGUCGUUUAACCAGAUCACGGGGAAUUAAUCCAGGACGAAUCCCGGGAAGUUCUUAUUGGCUCGUAAUGAAGCCAGGACGAGGCAGUCACUUUGGGAUCGAGGAAGGACCGGGAGUGCGCUCGUUACGAGUCCGAAGAUUAAGCAAAAGGUUUUCACGCAUCACGGGGCUUAACGAGAGCGCGGCCCGCGUAAUUUUUACUUCUGCAGCGGGCAAAGCCCCUCGUCAU